CUGCCCCAAAUCUCUUUCAUUUGCUUCAUCUUCAUUGUAUCACUUCCCCUAACUUUGGGUGUGUCCCAAGACAUUGACUUCAACCUUCUCCUCUUCAUUCUGUCCAUGAGCCCAUGAGAAAAAGAUUAUAGGGGAAGUCAGACCAGGAGGAUGAGAGAUGCUCCAGAAGCCAUCAAGGGAAAUAAAUCCCUGAGGAAGGAAAAAUAUGGUGGUCCUUAGAGCAAAGAAUUCACCCACCAGCUUAGAUAAAAGCCCAAAUGGUACCGAAAAUGAAAGCAAGGUCAGAUAACAGAACAUGAACGUAAGAUUAUGACACUCUAAAGAGAGAGUCAGGAAUGCUAAUACUCAGAACGAGCUCAGCCCAGUCAGAAAGGGACACAGAGGCAAACGAACAAACACAAAGGCUGCUUGCUUAUUUUUAGCUUGUUUAUUUGAGAGAAAGGAGCAUCUGUGGGGAGAGAGGGGCAUUUACUUGGGGCGGGUGAUGGGACAGUGAUAACUGACAACAGAGGCAAGGCAGAGCUGUUUUAAUCGUAUGUUUCUAUUUUCUGCGAAGGAGAACGACCUAAAAUUACAUUGGAAACAACAGACCCCAAAUGAUGACCAAGAGGUUGGUAUCCAGGUAAUGAAGAAGUUAGGAAGAAAGCAUCUCCCCUGCCUCGAUGAAUUCCAGUCACCUGGUCCAGCCUGAACUCUGUCUUUGGGUCCUUGAAGAAAUGGCAGAUGGGAUAGCCGAGGCAACUGCACAGUGAAAAUGUCCACAGCCUUUGGACUACGAAUGCAGACAUCGCCUUGCUGGACACACAUCCCAGGAAGGUCACGGGUCGACGAUGCACCAAGAUUUAGAAAUACAAGAAAUGCCCAUCCUUUGGGGAAAUGACUAUCCAGGUUGUGCUACCCGGAUGUGGUAGAAGAUGACUGUCUGGGAAGAAGUGAUGACUGUGAAGCACGCACAGAGCUAUGGGAUGAUUUCUACGAACUGACACAGAGUGAAAUAACAGAACUAAGUAAACGCAUGUCUUACCAGAUGUCUCCGGCCUCAUAAAGGCAGAGAACAAUAACAUGGAAACUGGAGGGAGGACGAUGGGCCUCCGCCCUUCUUCGCAGAGGUGAUGGGAGCCAUGCACCGCACCGCAGAACUUUCUGACUCUUGUGUAAGUCAUUUUGCUAAGCUGAUAGCUCUGGGGGAGAGAAGGAGGAGGAAGAGGAAGAGAUCUACGGGGAAAUGGAGAUGAUGUUAAAAGACGCUGCUAAUUUCUUUAAGAUGAGGGGAGGCGGAUCAGAUCACCUCUGCACUUCUUUCCAGCUUUAGGCUUUGAGCCAAGUGAGAUAGACUUAGGGCGGAAGUAUGGGGAAGAGAGGCAGGGCGCAGAGGGCCCAGUGCGGUACUUAGGCAGUCAGGAAGAUGGGGCGUCAGAUGCCCAUGCUGACCCACGUUCUCUCUAGGGUUUUAUGGCCUUGCUCUCUUCUGCCUGCCUGCUCCUCUUCAGUCUAUUCUUCACACACAGUGGUGGCCAGCGUCCCGCAAAGCUCUGCUCCAGCCUCUCUCCUCUUCUCCCUCUAGCUUGCUUGGCCAUCCCGUCUGCGUCCACGGAUUUGAUUCUCAUCCAUUGGCCACUUUCCUCCCGAUCUCCAGUCUCGUUUCCCCAGUUCCCUCCUGGACAUUUCAAACCAGAGUUUGGAGACAUCUUCGAUCGGACCCGUCCAAAGCGGAGCUCGGCCUCUUUCCCCCCAGGCCUUCCCUUCCUGAUUUCAUCUUUCUGGUCACCCGGGCUCACACGUGAGGAAUAUCCUCGACUUCUGUCCAGGGAUGCUCCCUUCAGGACAUCUCUCCAGGUGGCCCCUUCUGCCCUCUGACAAGGCGGGUGCUCGUCAUGGCAAGUCUGGACGAGCCCAUCGCUUAGGGUUGCUUUACCCUCCUCUAGCAUCUCCCUUCUCCAGCUCUGCCCUCAGACAGGCCUUCCUCAAGCGCAGCCCUGCCCAGGCUGCCCUUCCACUCAGUGAGUUCCUUCUGGCGUCUUCCUCUCGUGCUCAGGGCCCAACACAAGAUCCUUGGACGGCGAGACGGCGCAGUGGACUGUGCCAGGCCUGGGGAGGAAGGCCCGUCUUCCUGAUUUCAGAUAUGGCCACAGACACUCACUAGUUGUAGGACGCCGGGCGUCCUAGCCCUGUUUGCCACACUUCUGUGCUGCAAAAUGAGCUGGAGAAGGAAGUGGCCCACCACUGGCUUCCCAAUCCAUGCACACAGAGGGUGCUUUUAGUUCUUUUUAUUAUUUCAGUUGGGUUGGACUCUUUGGGACCCAGGUUGGGGUCUUUGCAGAGAUUCUGGCAGUGGCGGGCCAUUAUCUCCUCCAGUUCAUUUUACAGAUAAGGAAACUGAGGCAAACAGGGUGAUGUGGCUUACACAUAGGCACGUAGUAAGUGUCUGAGGCUGGAUCUGAACUCGGGAAGGUGAGUCUUCCUGCCUUUAGGCCUGGAACCCUCUCAGUACCACCUUACGAAGGUGGCUACGGACAUUUAUGAAGAGCCUCUGAUCCAUAUGUAUGUGCCUGGGAGCGGCAGGUACAGACUACAUGCUACAAAUGUAUGGAAUUGUCUUAGAGUACUGCUUCUCCAAAGUGUGACCCACAGAGCCCCGAGACUAAACAUUUAUUCUUUUUAUUAAUUUUUACCCCCCCCCCCCCACCUUCUGUUUUAUAAUCAAUGCUGAGUAUGAGUGGUAAGGACUAGGCAAUUGGAUGAAGUGACUGGCCUAGGGUCACACAGCUAGGAAGUGUCUGAGGUCACAUUUGAACCCAGGACCUCCUGCCUCUAGGCCUGGCUCUCCAUCCCAUGAGCCACCUAGCUGAGCCCGCUCCCUGAGCCUUUUUUUAGAGUAUCUGCAAGUUCAAAACUCUUUUCAUAACAAUGCUAAGAUGUUAUUUGCUUAUUAAAAUGCUGUGGCCUUUUCCAACUACAUAUGCAUGUGAGGCCAGACUGAAUGCAGAAGCAAAUACGAGAAUCCCGUCUUCUACUUAGCCAGACACUAAAGAAAUUUGCAAAGAGGCCUGUUUUCUCACUCAAUUUUUUAGACUUGUAAAAUCCAGUUAUUCUUCAUAUAUUUUAUUUAUUUAUUUUAUUUUUCACAUUCGUUUGUUUUAAUAUUUUGACUUAUUGUUUUUAAUGAACUAAUAAACAUCUAAAAAUA